rnacentral:lncRNA from 1 species
UCUCUUUAUUCUCAUUCAUAGUAGAUAGCACCACAUAUGUUGAGCGCGCGGAGCUCACAUAUGCAUAUAUGCAUGCUACGCAUCCAUGGAUGCAACAUGCAAAUUCAUGCCUAAUAGAUUUGUUUCUAGAUCUACUAAGGCUGGUCCACGAUGGGGCAGUAUCGAAAGUUAUUAGCAGUCCCGAAGUUGCACUGCCCGGUGCGACGAGUAGUCUGACAAACUCCCUUUGCAUCUCCUUGGGCAGUUUCAUGAGGCCACUCUCACCAGGUAGACACAGCGCCAGAAGCCCUAUGAAGUAACGCAGAGCCUCGCACCAACACUGCUGAGAAAUUUUUGCAAGGUCACGGUAGCAAUUCAAUUUGGCGAGGUAGGGCUUCUCGAGGGAGUAGAACGACGCGAGUGACAUCUCUUAGGGUAGCCGCGAAUCGGAUAUGUAGAUGCCACAUGUUUAUUGUGAGAGUACUCACGACAACUUGGGAGUAGACUGGUCAGAAAAGCCACACUUUGAUGCAGCAGCCGGGUGCGGAAGCAGCGACAAAGAGGAAAGCAGGACGACGACCAAGAGGAGGAAACGACUGUUGGACUUGGACACCAUUUUAAUUUUGCUAGGUUCAAUUCAUUGAUGUAGUUUCUUGAGGUUGUGAACGGCAUUAGUUGGUGAAGCUGGACAUGCCACACUUGCUUGCAUGCAUCUUUCCUACUUAUAAAUGUUGGAGUCGAUGGUGAGUUCAUAUGAAGAUCAAUAAUAGAAAUUGAAAAUGCAUUUAUGCCCACAUGAGGGAUCACCAAACUUCCAACAGACUUAAGUAAACAAAUGCAUUUUUAGUCACAUGUUAGACCUAGCACAAAUAAACAAAUACACUAAUAGCUUAAUGUGAGACCAACACUCGCGUGAAAAACACAAGUNNNNNNNNNNNNNNNNNNNNNNNNNNNNNNNNNNNNNNNNNNNNNNNNNNNNNNNNNNNNNNNNNNNNNNNNNNNNNNNNNNNNNNNNNNNNNNNNNNNNNNNNNNNNNNNNNNNNNNNNNNNNNNNNNNNNNNNNNNNNNNNNNNNNNNNNNNNNNNNNNNNNNNNNNNNNNNNNNNNNNNNNNNNNNNNNNNNNNNNNNNNNNNNNNNNNNNNNNNNNNNNNNNNNNNNNNNNNNNNNNNNNNNNNNNNNNNNNNNNNNNNNNNCAAUUAGAUAUCAACUGCAGCAAGAACUGUUGUUAUAUUUUUCACUCUCUUUAAUCGUGAACCGUAUAAUAGGGGCAAGACAAUAUGGCAACUAUGGUGAACUGAAGUGCACUUAAUCAAUUAGUUGGAACAUAAUUUGGAGGGGAAUGCAAGCUAGCUUAUGUGCAAGCAGUGAGAGAUUCAUAGCUGCUCCAACCUACCUUGUUGGUAAUCGUUGAUGUGGCAUUAUUUUCUUAUUUUGUCAAGUUAUCACUCGUACCUAAAGUGGAGGUUUAAUUAAGAUGUAGCUAGUUUAUGUGUGAGAGUUGAUAAACCAACGAUGGACAAAGUUAGUUUUAUCAUGUUGUGGGCACACAUGUGACGGCUGUAUGUGUGAGCAACUUUGCAAAGCAUAGUUUUACGAACCGUCAUGGUGGCCGUGCACAUGUGCGGUCAUCAUGUGUUGAGUUAGUGGUUUCACGAAUGUACACAUUAUGUAAUAAAUAAUACAUUAUUAUAACCAUAAAAAUAUGAUGGCCAAAAUAUCACAUAUGAUUGUUGGCGGUCAAUCACCGUUGAUACAUUCUACCAUGGAGUCGUGAAGAAUAAUAGAGAUCCCAUCACAAUGGAGAUAUAGGGUUUUACACAAGUUUGGAUAGUCGGAUGGUUAAUAUCCAUAUGUCAGGCUUAAAGAUUUCUAGUGAUGAGUGGAGAGUUAUAAGGUGGCUGGAACUGUAAAUAAAACAAGGCCACACGAGUGUAUUCUCACGGAAGGAGAUGAUCAUUGGUGAGGGUCGUCGAUGACCACUUUCAGUAACAAGGAAAUUACCUUCCAAUGAUCUGAUAUAAUUUGAUAUCGCGGAUUCACAAGGAAUGAUCUCCCGAACCAGCAUAAUUCCCAACAUAACGUGUCUAACCUUAUCUUCUUUGAGUGUACUGUAGCACGACUGGGUCCAGAUGGAACUAUUCUAUCGACUCGGUCUAUCCAUGCCCGUAGGGUUCAUCAUACACCAUUACUCACAUAAACAUGUGGUUAACAUCUUUAAUCAUCUUCAAUUUAUGAGAGAACAAUUAUUACGUUACUUUCAAACGUCUUGUCUUAAUGAUCAUAUGUGUUGUUUGUACAUGAUAUUAGAUUAAUACAUAGAAUUAAAGUCAUCUAGUGAGCUAGCCCGUAGUUUUCAUUUGAUUUUGUAUCAACAUGUGAAGUUAACAUUCAGAUUGUCAAUUGUCAUUAUUAGGCAUAUAGCUAAGAUGAUGUACAUAUUGUGGUUAAAGUAAUGACUAGAGUUGAACAAAAGCAAUGGCUAGAGUAUGUUUCGAUCGUCUAAAUAACAAGUUUCCUUUGUUAAUGGAGUAAAAUAUAAUUUAUACCCAUUAACAGGUAGGGUAACUAAACACUCAGAAAUUUCAUUUGAUUAUCUUUCUCGACAUUUUUCUUACUCUCAUCUGCUAGCUACAUUUUGAAAUACCUAACAUUUUAGAGAUGGAUAUAGUCUUCAGGAUACAACUUUGAUCCCUCUUUUAGCAUUUGGAAAUCCUGCUGCAAAAUAAGAUUAAAAAAUAUUUAACACAAAUGCAAUGAAAAAUUUCAGAAUAUCUGUUGUGAUACCUAUGAUGAAUUAUUGAUUAGGGUAUGCUAUAAAAAGGGCCCAUCCGAUUGAAAACCAGAUGGUUGGAACUUUUUUGGUACAUUCCCCAGACAUAUUGUGCCUUUCAUAUACAAUUGAUAGAUUCAUGAAUUCAAGAUUAUGGUACAUGAAUCGUUGUAUUUCCCUUGCGGGGGUUCAAUGUUGUAUCUCUAUCUACCUCAUCUUAAACUAGUCAAUUCUGGAGUAUGUGACCAUACAGAGCAUAUACUUAAUCUAAGAAAAAUAAACAAUCAGAUGCUCGUGAUUUAUAGAGACUUUAUUUUACUUAUGCUGGUGUUGGACUUUCAAGUUUUUCGAAUCUUAUGUAGGAGUUGGGCGGCUCAAAAUAUGCACAUAUUUGUGUAUUCUAAUUAGUAAUGUUAUUGUCUUCCUGUAUAUUGUGUAUAAAGCAAUUCAUAACUUGGCAUCCAUUUUAUCCAUAACAUCAUCAUUUGUCUUAUGGCUCCUGCAACGUCACGAUACAUACACUGUUUGUUGUUGCAACAUUACAAAUAUAUGAAUCAUCGUUAUGAUAUUUUAACUCUAUCUUUAUCAUUGCUUAUCAAGCGGUGCAUGUAUUGUGACAAGCACUGAUAAAGAUAACAAUAAGGCUACAAAAUCACCAAAGAUAUGAGCACAAGAUAGAGUUAAAAUUUAAGACCCACAAAACUAUUCCCUUUUUUGGCAUUCAAGGUAGAUAGCACCACACAUGCCAUGCAUAUAUGCAUGUCCCACAUCCAUGGGAGAAACAUUCUUAUUCACGAGCAAUAGAUUUAUCUUUACAUGUCUUUUUUUAUCUUUGCAUGUCCAUAGCAAGGCACCAUGGAGCAUUGUCAACAGGUUCUCAAGUUACACUGCCUCGGCGUGACAAGUACUCUAACGAAGUCCCUUUGUGGCUCCCUAGGGCAUUGGGGAAGGUUCAUGAGUCCACUCUUCUCGGGACAAGAUGGCUCCUGCUCCAUGAAGUAUCGCAACGCCUCGCAUCAAUACCAAUCUGAAAUAUGUGAAAGCUCUAGGAAACACGUUAUCGGCAUAUCGCCGACUUGCUGCGCCACAGGUUUCUUGUGUCACAUAGUCAUGAUAGCCUUGUAGCGGCAUGCUUGGAAUACCCAUCCCUAGGAAGCAGUGAUUUAGUUUGGUGGUAGCAGUGGCGGCAAAGAUGGAGACUAGGACAGGGGCCAAGAGGAGGAGACUCCAGCUGUACGUGGGCUCCAUGUUAUUUUCUAGCCACAUCCGGCUAGUUUGUGUAAUUUCUUGAGGUUGUGCACCAUAUUGGUGGGUGUAAGCUAGAUGUACCACACUUGCGUGCAUAUAUACCCAAAGAAAAAGUAAUAGAGGGAGAGCUAGCAGUAAUUAACUAUAUUUGUGUGUUAUAUGAUGAUUAUGAUGAGCUAGAGUGCACUUAAUUAAUUUGUUGGAACAAAAUUUGGAGGGAAACAAAAUCUAGCUUGUGCAUGGAAGGCGAGAGAUUCAUAGCCGCUCGAGCCUAGCUUUUCUUAUCAUGACUGAUGUGGUGUUCUUUUCUUCUAUUGUCAAGUUGAAAACAAUAUUUGAAGUGGAACCUACUUCAAUUAAGCUAGAUUAUGCGUGCCAGUGCUGCUAAACCAACAACCGAGUUUAUUUCUGUGUUGUGUGUGAGAAAACAUGUGAUGAUUGUGUGUGAGCAACUUUGCAAAACAUUAUUUUCAAGUUAACCGUAAAAUCAAACAUCUGUAGAAAUUAAUCGUCUACAAAAGAUGCUACUAGUAACCUUUGAACCUCUCUCUUCUUACAUGUGAAAACACUCCAAAAAUAGUUCACAUGUAGUUUUGUUUUCAUUUAUUUAAUAAUCCCAAACUUCGAUAAAUAUCUACCAUAACAUUAUCUACACAGAUCUUUUUAAACUGUUAUUUAGUCAUAUGUUGUUGCAACGUAUAAGACUAGCAACUACACAGUAUUGUUUGGGGCAAAGAAGUUAUUGUAUUUGUUUCGGCAUUGCUUAAGAAAGAAUAUUUGUUGCCAUUAUCGCUCGUGGGAUGGGUAACCUUAGGUCACUCAUGAUAAAUUUCUGUUGCCGCAAACACAUAUUUGAGGGGCCAACCACAUAAUAUCAAGCAACAUUUUAUCGAAUACACCGUGAAAAGGUGUAUCAUGAGUCAAGCCAAGCGGCUAUUACAAUGCCUUUCAGCAAACAACGCUAAAAGUGUACCCUUCCCACUACGACUACAACAACGAAGGACACAACUUGUCCAACAUCUGACAUAAAUGGUGAGGAAGCUGGAGACAAAAUAUCAGGACUGCAUCUAUAGCACAACUAUUAACUCCACCACAAUCCGCAUAAAUGCACCCUAGCCAUGCGCCUAGAGGAUUCGGCAGACCAGUAUUGAUGCCACGUUGGAGGCAAGAAAUAAAAAAAAACUAGGAAACAAAUUUAGAAAUUUUAUUAACAGUUGGACGCUUCUUGAUUUUUCCAAUGAUUUCGACAGUCAAACACAUGAAUAAAAUAUCCGAGAUGAACUUUAAGAAGCAGAUUCCCUUAAUUACCAUCCAUGCGCCUAGAAUAUUUGUCGGUCUGGAAUUGAUGUCACACUGGAGGCAAGAAAUAAAAAGCUGGACAAAAAUGUAGAAAUGUUAUUAGCAGUUGGACGGUUCUCGAUUUUUCUAAUAAUUUUAACCACCAAAGACAUGAAUUAAAGCUCUGAGUUGAGUUUAAGAAGCGAAAAUGAUUCCCUUUAUUCUUAUUAUCCAUAUAUAUAGCAGAUAGCACCACACAUGAUGAGCGCGCGGAGCUCGUCCUAUAUGUAUAUAUGCAUGUCACACAUGUAUGGUCGCAACAUGCUUAUUUAUUCAUGAGCGAGAGAAUUGUCUCUAGCUCCACUGAGACUCCUCCAUACCGAGGCAGUAUGGGGUGUUGUGAACGGUCGUCAAGUUGCAGUACCCCGGAGUGACGAGUAUUGGGACGAAGUUCAUCUGCACCUCCCUAGGGCAUCCGGGGAGUUCCAUGAGGCCGCUCUGAUCCGGGCGAGACUUCGGCCCCAUGAAGUAGCGCAGCGCCUGGCAUCGGCACUGCUGCGGAAUGUUUGCAAGCUGCUCACAGCACUCCUGCUUGGCGAGGUACGGCGGCCCGGGCAUUUCGAUACGACAUGCUUGUUCUUCCACAUAGUUACGGCAGCUUGGGAGUGGAGUGAUCAGAGUACUCGUCCAUGGGGUGCAAUCUUCAUUGCCGACGGCGGCAACGGCGGCAAAGAUGAAGACUAGGAGGGCCGCGAAGAGGAGAUUGUAGUUGGACUUGGACGCCAUAUUUUUGGAUGGAGGCCAAGUUCGUUGGUGUGGUUUUUUCUUUUGCACUGCACUGGUGGGUGUAUGCUGCACGUACCACACUUGCAUGGAUAUAUACCCCGUGAAAAGUAAGAAAGGCAGUGCUGGUAGCAAUUAACUAAAUUUGUUGUGUUACAUAACGACGAUGGUGAACUAGAGUGCACUUAACUAAUUAGUUGGAACUGAAUUUGGAGGGGAAUGCAAGCUGGCUAUAGCGUGGGAAGCCGUGAGAGAUCCAUAGCCGCUAGAGCCUGCCUUUUGUGGUCAUGGUUGAUGUGGCAUUCUUUUCUUCUGUUGUCAAGUUGUCAUCAGUACUUGAAAGUGGAGCACCAAUUAAGCUAGCUAGUUUAUGCGUGGGAGUGUUGCUAAACCCAACAACGGACUUUGUUUUUGCAUCCUGUGAUAGAGCAAACAUGUGACGGCAGUGUGGGUGAGCAAAUUUGCAAAGCAUUGUUUUUGGAAUUAAUAGCAAAUCAAAGGUCUGCACAGAUAGACGGCUAUGACUCAAAACCUUUUUUCUUUUUGAAAAGGAGGAUACCCCUGGCCUCUCUGCCUCUGCAUCAUUAUGAUGCACACAAACCAUAUUUAUUAAACAAUGAGCAUCACGGUCUGGAUAUCAAAUAAACAAAAAGAAGCCACAACCCCUGAAAAUAGGAAUAUAUGCCUACACACAUAGCCUAUUAUUGAAACGUCGUCCAAACCGGUUUUAAUUAACCCGAGCAACUGCCUCCCACCGCUUGCGCCCAAUACUCAUAACCAUGCUGCAAUAAAGACAUGUACAGAUCCAUGUUGCAGCCCUGAAAAUGAUUUGCAAAAAGUUUUGUGCUUUGACUCUGUUAAACACAGUCAUCCCGGUAGUUCCAUAAAGCCCAAGGAAAAUCAUAAACUUCCGCCCGGAUAUGUGGCUUAACUUUAGGAUUAACCCCACCCAACAAGUUUCUGAACAAGUUUGUUAUACUAGUAGGUAGAGGGAUGCUAAUAGUCACAUGAAUCGUUUGUCAUAGCAAGGUGGCAAACGGGCAGGAAAUAAACAUAUGAUGAAUUGUUUCAUCCUUAUCACAAAAACAACAUCGUUAUGGCAAACCUUGUUUACAAAACAAACUAUCCAACUAUGUGAUUUCAGUUUCAGGCCAAUAACAGCCCCCGGACAUAGGCGCAUAGUACAAUGCGUUUGAUAUAGGAUAUUCAAAAAAAAAGAACGUAAGAUGAUUUUUAGAAUGUACUGUAAUACACACUAAACUCUAAAGACAAUACAUAUGCAUUGUUUACUAUGAUAAAUUCAUUAAUAUAUGGAUCAAGGAAGGUUCCGAAGGGUCAUAAGCAAUAGCUAAGACCACAAUAAGGCUAUAAAACCUGCAAGAUUAUGCAUGAACGAUUGUGUUAUCUCCUUUCCCCAUAAAAAUCUAGUCACCAUCCCGCUAAUUCCGUCAGUUUCAGUGUUGGGAAACUGGGAGACAAUGGAUCUUGAAGCUCGUGGAGAAUAUUGAUCUAUUUUCGGUUUUGGUGUCUUAGUUUCAUUUGCACGGACGGUAUGGAGGCGACGACACAAUGGAAUAAGAACAUUUGUCCACGUCCAUUCAUGGUAACACGGGUUCCAGCAUCAACAUAGGGCGCGUAAGGAUUGGUUUCCCGAGAUCUGAUCGAUCGGGUUGUGGUGAGAGUCAUUAACCACGAUGUUUUUGCCUCUUUUCACUGUCGCUUCUGUGGUCUCAUCAAUUAGAUCACGCGAUAACACUUUCAGCGCCUGUGUGGGAUUGGGUCUACUCAUCCGGUGUUCGCCUUCUCUAGGUCGAUAGAAUGUGCUUCACACCAUCGACGCUGGCAUCUCCUCUUGCAAUGCUCAACUACUUCUCACUCGCAGUUUUUUUUCCCAACAAAUGAUGGAUUUUAUUGGCUUAAAAUGGAGCAUCAAUAGGAUACAAACACAAUGCACACACCCGGUCUAUGCAUGGCUAUGAUGCAUGCAGUCAACACCAACCCACGCACACAAAAAGCACGACAGCAAAGAGCAAAGUCAUAUAAGACUAAAACUAAGCGUAGACGAGGAAAAUGAAAAGGAAACCCCAAACAGAUCAGAUCUGUGAUCGCAACCUACAUCAAUGACCAUAUCCGCACCAACCAUCUCAUGACACCACACUGACGAGGAGGUUCUUCAAUGAUUACAUGGCUCCAAUGAUGUCAACAUGUGAGGCGUUUAGCUAGGCUCAAGACGGGCCAUCAGCUUGUGAAGGUCAGAGACGGCGAUGAACUCCCCUUGGGUCUGUUUGUAAUCUUUAUUUUUGUCAUAGGUGUUCUUAUAAGGUUUGGAUUAGUUAAUAACUUGUAUAUGGCUUUGGCCCUUUACAAACAAAUUGAUCGAGUUGAAAUAUGGCUUUGGCCCUUUACAAACAAAUUGAUCGAGUUGAAAUAUGGCUUUGGCCCUUUACAAACAAAUUGAUCGAGUUGAAAUAUGGCUUUGGCCUUUGACAAAAUAAAUGACCGAGUGUGAACUGAGCGUAGCUCAGAUUGUUAGGUUCAUUCCGGUGGAAUCAGCCCACCAGGAUUCAAGUCCUAAACUUGGCACUGUUGCUCGUAUAUUUCUGGAUUUAUUUCAGCCUUUCCGGUGAUGCUCGCUCAUCGGGAGGAGACGUUCCCGUUGACUACGGAGGCGUCUGUGCUGACUUUAUCAAUCUCAGGAUGUUAUGUCGGCUUAGUAUCUCGGAUGUGCUCAUAGGGCAGGGUGUGCAUGUCAUACAGGUGAUAGUAUAUGCGUGUAUGUGAGCAUCUGCGUUGUGUCGUGUUAAAAAAAAUUGAUCGAGUUGAAAUUAAAGAACCACAAAAUGGUUCUCUUUAUUCUCAUUCAUAGCAGAUAGCCCACACAUGUUGAGCGCGCGGAGCUCACAUAUGCAUGCAUGCACACCACACGCCUAUGGAUGCAACAUGCAUGCUUAUUCACGAACGACUGAUUUUAUCUCUAGAUCCACAGAAGCUGUUCCACGGCGGGGCAGUAUCGAACAUUGUGAAUGGUCGCCAAGUUGCACUGCCCCGGGGCAACAAGUAAUCUGACAAAGUCCCAUUGCAUCUGCCUGGGGCAUCCGGGCAGGUCGAUGAGGCCGCUCUCACCGACAUUGCCGGACCUCGGGUCCACGGGCUGAGACGGUACCGGCAACGCUAUGAAGUAGCGCAGCGCCUCGCACCGGCACUGCUGAGGAAUUUCUGCGAGCUCCUGGCAGCAAUACAACUUGGCGAGGUAUGGCUUCAUGGGGGAGAAUAUUGACGCGGAUGUCAUCCAUUCGGGUAACUUCGACCCGGGGGUGAAGGUGCCACAAGUUUGUUGUAACACAUAGUCGCGGCAGUGUGGCAGAAGAUCGGUCCGAAAAGCCACCCCUGGGACGCAGCUGCCGGAGGCGGAAGCAGCGGCGACGACGGAGAGCAGGACGGCGGCCAAGAGGAGGAGGUUGCAGCUGGACUUGCACGCCAUGGUAUUCUAGCCAAGUCUGGUUCGCU